GGAAGGUUUGUGUACAAGUUACAGUUUGUGAGAUUCUUAUUCUGGGGUUGGAUUUAAGUUAGGAAUUACUGAAACCUAUAUGAGAGGAACACUAACAUUGAAAGAAUUCGGAAGGGAUAAAGAAAAGAAUACAAGCUUUUGUUCUUAAAUAUAUCUUCAUUUUUCUUCUUACACCUCUCUCUUUAUACUUUCUUCCGCAGUUCAAAAGCAAACAAAAUGGAC
rnacentral:lncRNA from 1 species